rnacentral:rRNA from 1 species
CAGUCGAACGGCAGCACGGACUUCGGUCUGGUGGCGAGUGGCGAACGGGUGAGUAACAUAUCGGAACGUAUCCAAUAAUGGGGGAUAACUAAUCGAAAGGUUGGCUAAUACCGCAUACGCCCUACGGGGGAAAGCAGGGGAUCUUUGGACCUUGCGUUAAUGGAGCGGCCGAUAUCUGAUUAGCUAGUUGGUGAGGUAAAGGCUCACCAAGGCGACGAUCAGUAGCUGGUCUGAGAGGACGACCAGCCACACUGGAACUGAGACACGGUCCAGACUCCUACGGGAGGCAGCAGUGGGGAAUUUUGGACAAUGGGCGCAAGCCUGAUCCAGCCAUUCCGCGUGAGUGAAGAAGGCCUUCGGGUUGUAAAGCUCUUUCGCAAGGGAAGAAACGAUACUGGUGAAUAUCCAGUGUUAAUGACGGUACCUUGAUAAGAAGCACCGGCUAACUACGUGCCAGCAGCCGCGGUAAUACGUAGGGUGCGAGCGUUAAUCGGAAUUACUGGGCGUAAAGCGUGCGCAGGCGGUUUUGUAAGUCAGAUGUGAAAUCCCCGAGCUCAACUUGGGAACUGCGUUUGAAACUACAAGACUAGAAUAGGUCAGAGGGGGGUAGAAUUCCACGUGUAGCAGUGAAAUGCGUAGAGAUGUGGAGGAAUAUCAAUGGCGAAGGCAGCCCCCUGGGAUCAUAUUGACGCUCAUGCACGAAAGCGUGGGGAGCAAACAGGAUUAGAUACCCUGGUAGUCCACGCCCUAAACGAUGUCAACUAGUUGUUGGUAGAGUAAAAUCUAUGAGUAACGCAGCUAACGCGUGAAGUUGACCGCCUGGGG